GCCCGAUUGAUCUAGUCGGUUAUGAUGCAGACCUAAUACGCUCGCUGUUUAGUCUGAUGUCGGCGGUUCGAUCCCGCCAUUGGGCA